UAAGGAAUAUUGGUCAAUGGACGCAAGUCUGAACCAGCCAUGCCGCGUGAAGGAUGAAGGUCCUCUGGAUUGUAAACUUCUUUUAUCUGGGACGAAAACGGGAUUUUUAUCUCAAUUGACGGUACCAGAGGAAUAAGCACCGGCUAACUCCGUGCCAGCAGCCGCGGUAAUACGGAGGGUGCGAGCGUUAUCCGGAUUUACUGGGUUUAAAGGGUGCGUAGGUGGGCUUAUAAGUCAGUGGUGAAAUCUCCGAGCUUAACUUGGAAACUGCCGUUGAUACUAUAGUUCUUGAAUUAUCUGGAGGUAAGCGGAAUAUGUCAUGUAGCGGUGAAAUGCUUAGAUAUGACAUAGAACACCAAUUGCGAAGGCAGCUUACUACAUAUAAAUUGACGCUGAGGCACGAAAGCGUGGGGAUCAAAC
rnacentral:rRNA from 1 species